CUAUAACUUCAAUUUCGUGUUCUUUAUUCUUCAUUUCUACGGCAAACUGUUCUUUUAUAAUCGUCUCAAUCUUCUGCACAGCAAUAUCUCGAGCUGACUGCUCGGCGGCGCGGUGCCGUUUGCUGGGCGGCGCCACCGCGAUCUCCUCGUAGUCGGGGUCCUUCUCGGCGAGGGCUCUCCUCACGCCGGACAUGGUGGUGGUAGUGGUGACGGCACCGCCCCGCGCGGGCCGGCGGAGGGGCGCGGCCUUUGUUCCACCUCGCGCGGAGCUCCGGGCGCCGCCGCUCCCCUCAGGCCGCGGGCGGUGCGGGGCGGGGCCGUGUCCACGUGCACGCCGCUCCCCUCCCCCCGCCGCGCGCACAAAGCCGCCGCCGCGCUCCUUCGCGCCUUCCCC
rnacentral:lncRNA from 1 species